UCGGAAAUUCUUCGGAGUUAUACCGAGUGGAAAAAAUUGUAAGUGAAACAGUAAAGAAGAAUGAGAAGGCCAAGUCUGCUGAAGAAACUUUAAAAGCAAAGAAAGGAAUAAAGGAAAUCAAGGUAAAUAGCUCUUGUAAAGAGGAUGCCUCCAAACAGAAACAAUCAAGCAAGAAAAAGAGGAUCAUCUAUGACUCAGACUCAGAAUCAGAGGAGACAGUGCAGGUAAAAAAUGCCAAAAAGCAUUCAGAAAAAUUGCCAUUGUCUUCUAAACCUGGUAAAAUUUUACGGCAGGAUCCUGUUACAUAUAUUUCAGAAACAGGUAA